rnacentral:rRNA from 1 species
CCUACGGGAGGCAGCAGUGAGGAAUAUUGGUCAAUGGGCGCGAGCCUGAACCAGCCAAGUAGCGUGAAGGAUGACUGCCCUACGGGUUGUAAACUUCUUUUAUCAAGGAAUAAAGUGAGCCACGUGUGCCUUUUUGUGUGUACUUUAUGAAUAAGCAUCGGCUAACUCCGUGCCAGCAGCCGCGGUAAUACGGAGGAUCCGAGCGUUAUCCGGAUUUAUUGGGUUUAAAGUGUGCGUAGAUGGGGUGUUAAGUCAGUUGUGAAAGUUUGCGGCUCAACCGUAAAAUUGCAAUUGAUACUGGCAGUCUUGAGUGCAGUAGAGGUAGGCGGAAUUCGUGGUGUAGCGGUGAAAUGCUUAGAUAUCACGAAGAACUCCGAUUGCGAAGGCAGCUGACUAAGCUGCCACUGACAUUGAUGCUCGAAAGUGUGGGUAUCAAACAGGAUUAGAUACCCUUGUAGUC